rnacentral:rRNA from 1 species
GAUGAACGCUGGCGGCGUGCCUAAUACAUGCAAGUCGAGCGAACGGACGAGAAGCUUGCUUUUCUGAUGUUAGCGGCGGACGGGUGAGUAACACGUGGAUAACCUACCUAUAAGACUGGGAUAACUUCGGGAAACCGGAGCUAAUACCGGAUAAUAUUUUGAACCGCAUGGUUCAAAAGUGAAAGACGGUCUUGCUGUCACUUAUAGAUGGAUCCGCGCUGCAUUAGCUAGUUGGUAAGGUAACGGCUUACCAAGGCAACGAUGCAUAGCCGACCUGAGAGGGUGAUCGGCCACACUGGAACUGAGACACGGUCCAGACUCCUACGGGAGGCAGCAGUAGGGAAUCUUCCGCAAUGGGCGAAAGCCUGACGGAGCAACGCCGCGUGAGUGAUGAAGGUCUUCGGAUCGUAAAACUCUGUUAUUAGGGAAGAACAUAUGUGUAAGUAACUGUGCACAUCUUGACGGUACCUAAUCAGAAAGCCACGGCUAACUACGUGCCAGCAGCCGCGGUAAUACGUAGGUGGCAAGCGUUAUCCGGAAUUAUUGGGCGUAAAGCGCGCGUAGGCGGUUUUUUAAGUCUGAUGUGAAAGCCCACGGCUCAACCGUGGAGGGUCAUUGGAAACUGGAAAACUUGAGUGCAGAAGAGGAAAGUGGAAUUCCAUGUGUAGCGGUGAAAUGCGCAGAGAUAUGGAGGAACACCAGUGGCGAAGGCGACUUUCUGGUCUGUAACUGACGCUGAUGUGCGAAAGCGUGGGGAUCAAACAGGAUUAGAUACCCUGGUAGUCCACGCCGUAAACGAUGAGUGCUAAGUGUUAGGGGGUUUCCGCCCCUUAGUGCUGCAGCUAACGCAUUAAGCACUCCGCCUGGGGAGUACGACCGCAAGGUUGAAACUCAAAGGAAUUGACGGGGACCCGCACAAGCGGUGAAGCAUGUGGUUUAAUUCGAAGCAACGCGAAGAACCUUACCAAAUCUUGACAUCCUUUGACAACUCUAGAGAUAGAGCCUUCCCCUUCGGGGGACAAAGUGACAGGUGGUGCAUGGUUGUCGUCAGCUCGUGUCGUGAGAUGUUGGGUUAAGUCCCGCAACGAGCGCAACCCUUAAGCUUAGUUGCCAUCAUUAAGUUGGGCACUCUAAGUUGACUGCCGGUGACAAACCGGAGGAAGGUGGGGAUGACGUCAAAUCAUCAUGCCCCUUAUGAUUUGGGCUACACACGUGCUACAAUGGACAAUACAAAGGGCAGCGAAACCGCGAGGUCAAGCAAAUCCCAUAAAGUUGUUCUCAGUUCGGAUUGUAGUCUGCAACUCGACUACAUGAAGCUGGAAUCGCUAGUAAUCGUAGAUCAGCAUGCUACGGUGAAUACGUUCCCGGGUCU